rnacentral:rRNA from 1 species
CUACGGGGCGCUCCAGUGAGGAAUAUUGCACAAUGGGGGGAACCCUGAUGCAGCAACGCCGCGUGGAGGAUGACGCAUUUCGGUGUGUAAACUCCUUUUAUAUGUCAAGAAAAUGACGGUAGCAUAUGAAUAAGCGCCGGCAACUCCGUGCCAGCAGCCGCGGUAAUACGGAGGGCGCAAGCGUUACUCGGAAUCACUGGGCGUAAAGGACGCGUAGGCGGGUUGAAAAGUCAGGUGUGAAAGCCUACAGCUUAACUGUAGAACUGCACUUGAAACUCUCAAUCUAGAGUAUGGGAGGGGCAGAUGGAAUUAGUGGUGUAGGGGUAAAAUCCGUAGAUAUCACUAGGAAUACCUAAAGCGAAGGCGAUCUGCUGGAACAUUACUGACGCUAAGGCGUGAAAGCGUGGGGAGCAAACAGGAUUAGAUACCCCAGUAGUC